rnacentral:rRNA from 1 species
CGAGUUGUAGUCUGGNAGAAGCGUUUUCUGUGCUGGACCGUGUACNAAGUCUCUUGGAANUAGAGCGUCAUAGAGGGUGAGAAUCCCGUCUUUGACACGGACUGCCCAGUGCUCUGUGAUGCGCUCUCAAAGAGUCGAGUUGUUUGGGAAUGCAGCUCAAAAUGGGUGGUAAAUUCCAUCUAAAGCUAAAUAUUGGCGAGAGACCGAUAGCGAACAAGUACCGUGAGGGAAAGAUGAAAAGCACUUUGGAAAGAGAGUUAAACAGUACGUGAAAUUGUUGAAAGGGAAACGCUUGAAGUCAGUCGCGUCGACCAGAACUCAGCCAUGCUCUCGUGUGGUGCAUUUUCUGGUAGACGGGCCAGCAUCAAUUUCGGCCGCUGGAAAAAGGCUUUGGGAAUGUGGCACCUUCGGGUGUGUUAUAGCCCUUGGUCACAUACAGCGGUUGGGAUUGAGGAUCUCAGCAUGCCUUUAUGGUCGGGGUUCGCCCACGCUCAUGCUUAGGAUGCUGGCGUAAUGGCUUUAAACGACCCGUCUUGAAACACGGACCAAGGAGUCUAACAUGCCUGCGAGUGUUUGGGUGGAAAACCCGAGCGCGUAAUGAAAGUGAAAGUUGGGAUCCCUGUCGUGGGGAGCACCGACGCCCGGACCAGACCUUCUGUGACGGAUCCGCGGUAGAGCAUGUAUGUUGGGACCCGAAAGAUGGUGAACUAUGCCUGAAUAGGGUGAAGCCAGAGGAAACUNNNNNNNNNNCUCGUAGCGAUUCUGACGUGCAAAUC